rnacentral:rRNA from 1 species
UGCCAGCCGCCGCGGUAAUACGUAAGUGGCAAGCGUUAUCCGAAUUUACUGGGCAUAAAGCGCACGCAGGCGGUCAAUUAAGUUAGUUGUGAAAGACUACAGCUUAACUGUAGUUUGCUUCUAAUACUGAUUGACUAGAGAACAGGAGAGGAAAGUGGAACACACGGUGUAGCGGUGAAAUGCGUAGAUAUCGUGGGGAACACCAGUGGCGAAGGCGACUUUCUGGACUGAUUCUGACGCUGAGGUGCGAAAGCGUGGGGAGCGAACGGGAUUAGAUA